rnacentral:rRNA from 1 species
AGAGUUUGAUCAUGGCUCAGAUUGAACGCUGGCGGCAGGCCUAACACAUGCAAGUCGAGCGGUAGCACAGAGAGCUUGCUCUCGGGUGACGAGCGGCGGACGGGUGAGUAAUGUCUGGGAAACUGCCUGAUGGAGGGGGAUAACUACUGGAAACGGUAGCUAAUACCGCAUAAUGUCGCAAGACCAAAGUGGGGGACCUUCGGGCCUCAUGCCAUCAGAUGUGCCCAGAUGGGAUUAGCUAGUAGGUGGGGUAACGGCUCACCUAGGCGACGAUCCCUAGCUGGUCUGAGAGGAUGACCAGCCACACUGGAACUGAGACACGGUCCAGACUCCUACGGGAGGCAGCAGUGGGGAAUAUUGCACAAUGGGCGCAAGCCUGAUGCAGCCAUGCCGCGUGUGUGAAGAAGGCCUUCGGGUUGUAAAGCACUUUCAGCGGGGAGGAAGGCGUUAAGGUUAAUAACCUUGUCGAUUGACGUUACCCGCAGAAGAAGCACCGGCUAACUCCGUGCCAGCAGCCGCGGUAAUACGGAGGGUGCAAGCGUUAAUCGGAAUUACUGGGCGUAAAGCGCACGCAGGCGGUCUGUCAAGUCGGAUGUGAAAUCCCCGGGCUUAACCUGGGAACUGCAUUCGAAACUGGCAGGCUAGAGUCUUGUAGAGGGGGGUAGAAUUCCAGGUGUAGCGGUGAAAUGCGUAGAGAUCUGGAGGAAUACCGGUGGCGAAGGCGGCCCCCUGGACAAAGACUGACGCUCAGGUGCGAAAGCGUGGGGAGCAAACAGGAUUAGAUACCCUGGUAGUCCACGCCGUAAACGAUGUCGAUUUGGAGGUUGUGCCCUUGAGGCGUGGCUUCCGGAGCUAACGCGUUAAAUCGACCGCCUGGGGAGUACGGCCGCAAGGUUAAAACUCAAAUGAAUUGACGGGGGCCCGCACAAGCGGUGGAGCAUGUGGUUUAAUUCGAUGCAACGCGAAGAACCUUACCUGGUCUUGACAUCCACAGAACUUAGCAGAGAUGCUUUGGUGCCUUCGGGAACUGUGAGACAGGUGCUGCAUGGCUGUCGUCAGCUCGUGUUGUGAAAUGUUGGGUUAAGUCCCGCAACGAGCGCAACCCUUAUCCUUUGUUGCCAGCGGUUAGGCCGGGAACUCAAAGGAGACUGCCAGUGAUAAACUGGAGGAAGGUGGGGAUGACGUCAAGUCAUCAUGGCCCUUACGACCAGGGCUACACACGUGCUACAAUGGCAUAUACAAAGAGAAGCGACCUCGCGAGAGCAAGCGGAUCUCAUAAAGUAUGUCGUAGUCCGGAUUGGAGUCUGCAACUCGACUCCAUGAAGUCGGAAUCGCUAGUAAUCGUAGAUCAGAAUGCUACGGUGAAUACGUUCCCGGGCCUUGUACACACCGCCCGUCACACCAUGGGAGUGGGUUGCAAAAGAAGUAGGUAGCUUAACCUUCGGGAGGGCGCUUACCACUUUGUGAUUCAUGACUGGGGUGAAGUCGUAACAAGGUAACCGUAGGGGAACCUGCGGUUG